rnacentral:lncRNA from 1 species
GAAGCCUAAUUGGACUAGGAUUUGUGGAAUUGGGCAAGAAAAUAUAAAUUGGUUUAUUCUUAUUGAAUUGAGACAACUCUACACAAUUGAAGACUAGAGCAAGGAGGAAGAGCAGAUCUGAAGGCUACAACUUGGAGUUUUUCUUUCCCUUUAUUCUUUUAAUUGUGUAACUUCUAAAAGAUGAUUUAUCAAUUAUUUGCGGUUUUUAUUUCNN